rnacentral:rRNA from 1 species
GACAGAGGUGGCGAGCGUUGUUCGGAUUUAUUGGGCGUAAAGCGCACGCAGGCGGUUUGGUAAGUCAGGGGUGAAAGCUCACAGCUUAACUGUGAUAUUGCCUUUGAUACUGCCUUUCUUGAGUGCAUGAGGGGGAAGCGGAAUUCCGAGUGUAGAGGUGAAAUUCGUAGAUAUUCGGAGGAACACCGGUGGCGAAGGCGGCUUCCUGGCAUGUAACUGACGCUCAUGUGCGAAAGCGUGGGGAGCAAACAGG